rnacentral:rRNA from 1 species
AGCUUCAGUAGCGUAUAUUAAAGUUGUUGCAGUUAAAAAGCUCGUAGUCGCAUUUCUGGCGAGAGGAUCCGGUCCGACCUUUUGGUGGGUUCUUGGGUCUCUUUCGCCAUCCUUGAGUGGUCCGUUCUGGCAUUAGUUUGUCGGAGCGUCAGCCGCUCAUCGUUUACUGUGAGAAAAUUAGAGUGUUCAAAGCAGGCUUAUGCCGUUGAAUAUAUUAGCAUGGAAUAAUAAGAUAGGACCUCGGUACUAUUUUGUUGGUUUGAGCACCAAGGUAAUGAUGAACAGGGACAGUUGGGGGUAUUUGUAUUUCGUUGUCAGAGGUGAAAUUCUUAGAUUUACGAAAGACAAACUACUGCGAAAGCAUUUACCAAGGAUGUUUUCA